rnacentral:rRNA from 1 species
UGCCAGCCGCCGCGGUAAUACAGAGGGUGCAAGCGUUAAUCGGAAUUACUGGGCGUAAAGAGCACGUAGGUGGUUACUUAAGUCAGAUGUAAAAGCCCUGGGCUUAACCUGGGAAUGCCAUUUGAUACUGGGUAACUUGAGUAUAGGAGAGGGAAGUGGAAUUUCCGGUGUAGCGGUGAAAUGCGUAGAUAUCGGAAGGAACAUCAGUGGCGAAGGCGGCUUCCUGGCCUAAUACUGACACUGAGGUGCGAAAGCGUGGGGAGCAAACAGGAUUAGAUA